UAAUAAGUUAGGGAACAGAGUUAAUGGUUUGUUAAUAUUUAAUCAAUAGCUGUUAAUAACAUCACAUACUAUCACAUGUUAAACUAGAAUGGGCACUCGGUAGAGCGCAUACCUUCGCAUAUCACAAGAUUGGGCAUUGAAUUCUGAACAUUUUGGCAUUAGUUGCAUGCCAAUUGGAUAAAAAUUGACCGUGCUAUGGUAAAAAGAAGUUUUUGACCUUUCCAUGACCUUGACCUUUGACCCGAUCGAUCCCAAAAUCGAAUCAAAUGGUCCCCGGAUAAUAACCAAUCAUCUCACCAAAUUUCAUGCGAUUCGGUUUUAAACUUUUUUUGUUAUGCGAAUAACACGCAUACAAAUAAAUAAAUAAAUACACGGCGAUCAAAACAUAAUGUGGCAGCGGGGUGUGUUUAAGCUCGGCUGCAGAGUGGGUGGAGCGGGGGUGUGGUUCAGGGAACGGUGUCUGAUUGUCAUCAGCUGGUCUGAGGACAAUCAGACCAGCUGAUGACAAUCUGGCUGUGUCUACUACCGCGCACUUGAGCACUUCGAGCACUGACUUUCAGUGUUCGAAGUGCGCCACUGAAAAAACCAGCAGAAUUCAGUGCACUGAAAGUACCCGGAUGGUGCACUGCAAACGGGCAAAAAAUGUAGUGUAAAACGAUGGACACUACUCGCACUAAGCGGCCGCCAUCUUGGUGACGUAGCGGAAGAGGAGGAGCCAUUUCGCCAGCUUUUCAUUUUAUUUCUAAAACAAUGGCGGACAGCACAAGCGGUAGACCACGAAGCUACAGACCGUAAAUAGACGUUUCCUGGAGGUGCUGGUGCUGGUCCUCUGCUGCCCUCCCGACAUCUGGCUCCAAUGACCUCUGGCACCUCACAUCCACCUCCAGGGCCUUUAAGAAGAUGGACCGCCAUCGCGUCUUCAGUAUCCCGAAGGACCUCUCCACAACACAACACACCUCGCCUUUGACAGGCAGCAGUUGUAGCUUGGAGGUGGUUGCGGACAGGCUGCCUGAAGGGGGUCAUGAGGCAGAUGGGUUGGGACAAGCAGGGGGAGCCACCAUCCCCAAGGAUACAGUAUCCUGGUGGAGGGUAUGACUGCUCAUAGAAGAUGGGGCUGUUAUUCAGGACCCUGGCAUCAUGCACUGAGCCCGGGGCCUGUCGAAGGCCCUGGCCACCACCCGAUAGGAGGUGGCGCUGGCAAGCCAAAAAUAAAAACUAGACAGGAGAUCUCGGGCCCCAACCGUGGUCAGUCAGUGCCCAGCACAGCCAUGAGGGCGUUGAAUGACUCUCGGUGAGCCUGAAGUCCACCCUCAUGUCACUGUGGCCAUCACAAUACAACGCCAGCAGUGGCAUUGCAACAUGGAUACGGCAGCGCCGCCUGGGACUGGGUGGCUGCUGUAGAGUGUGGGGAGGGGAGGGGAAGAUUAUAUUAAUAUGUAAGUCAUUUUAUCAAUAAAAUGUUGUCAUUGA